UACAGAGGGGGCAAGCGUUGUUCGGAAUUACUGGGCGUAAAGGGCUCGUAGGUGGCCAACUCAGUCGGAUGUGAAAUCCCCAGGCUCAACUUGGGAACUGCAUCCGAUACUGGAUGGCUUGAAUCCGGGAGAGGGAUGCAGAAUUCCAGGUGUAGCGGUGAAAUGCGUAGAUAUCUGGAGGAAUACCGGUGGCGAAGGCGGCAUCCUGGACCGGAAUUGACACUGAGGAGCGAAAGCCAGGGGAGCAAACGGG
rnacentral:rRNA from 1 species